rnacentral:rRNA from 1 species
GACGAACGCUGGCGGCGUGCCUAAUACAUGCAAGUCGAACGCUACUUUCCUCCCGAGUGCUUGCACUCAAUUGGAAAGAGGGGUGGCGGACGGGUGAGUAACACGUGGGUAACCUACCCAUCAGAGGGGGAUAACACUUGGAAACAGGAGCUAAUACCGCAUAACAGUUUAUGCCGCAUGGCAUAAGAGUGAAAGGCGCUUUCGGGGGUCGCUGAGGGAUGGACCCGCGGUGCAUUAGCUAGUUGGUGAGGUAACGGCUCACCAAGGCCACGAUGCGUAGCCGACCUGAGAGGGUGAUCGGCCACACUGGAACUGAGACACGGCCCAGACUCCUACGGGAGGCAGCAGUAGGGAAUCUUCGGCAAUGGACGAAAGUCUGACCGAGCAACGCCGCGUGAGUGAAGAAGGUUUUCGGAUCGUAAAACUCUGUUGUUAGGGAAGAACAAGGACGUUAGUAACUGAACGUCCCCUGACGGUAUCUAACCAAAAAGCCACGGCUAACUACGUG